rnacentral:rRNA from 1 species
CGAAGAGACAUUAGGCUGAGAGGUCAUGAGGAGAGCUCUAUGAGCUCACGAACUCAGUUAUCCCAGACUUCCAAGAAAAGUUCCGGCGUGAGUCACUUUACUGACCGUACCGCAAACCGACACAGGUGGGCAAGGAGAAUAUCCUAAGGCGUUUGAGAGAAGCCUCUCUAAGGAACUCUGCAUAAUGACACCGUAACUUCGGGAUAAGGUGUGCCGACGGUAGGUGAUGUGCCUGCGCACAAAGCCCAAGUCGGUUGCAGUGAAACGGGGGUAGCGACUGUUUACCAAAAACACAGCACUCUGCAAACUCGUAAGAGGAUGUAUAGGGUGUGAUGCCUGCCCGGUGCCGGAAGGUUAAGAGGAGGAGUCAGCCGCAAGGCAAAGCCCCGAAUCGAAGCCCCGGUAAACGGCGGCCGUAACAAUAACGGUCCUAAGGUAGCGAAAUUCCUUGUCGGGUAAGUUCCGACCUGCACGAAUGGCAUAACGACUUCCCCACUGUCUCGGAGAGGCCCUCAGCGAAGUAGCACUAGGGGUGAAGAUACCCUUUACCCGCGGCAGGACGGAAAGACCCCGUGAACCUUUACUGUAACUUGGCACUGAUUUUCGGGUUAGCUUGCGUAGGAUAGGUGGGAGGCUAUGAAGCCGGGAUUCCGGUCUCGGCAGAGCCAACCUUGAAAUACCACCCUGGCUAACCUAAAAAUCUAACUCGCUUCCGUAAUCCGGAAGGAGGACAAUGCCUGGUGGGCAGUUUGACUGGGGCGGUCGCCUCCCAAAAAGUAACGGAGGCGCGCGAAGGUUCCCUCAGCCUGAUUGGAAACCAGGCGCAGAGUGUAAUGGCAUAAGGGAGCUUGACUGCGAGACAAACAAGUCGAGCAGGUGCGAAAGCAGGUCAUAGUGAUCCGGUGGUCCUGUAUGGAAAGGCCAUCGCUCAACGGAUAAAAGGUACUCCGGGGAUAACAGGCUUAUCACGCCCAAGAGUUCACAUCGACGGCGUGGUUUGGCACCUCGAUGUCGGCUCAUCGCAUCCUGGGGCUGAAGUAGGUCCCAAGGGUUCGGCUGUUCGCCGAUUAAAGCGGUACGCGAGCUGGGUUCAAAACGUCGUGAGACAGUUUGGUCCCUAUCCGCCGUGGGCGCAGGAGACUUGAGAGGAGCUAACCUUAGUACGAGAGGACCGGGUUGGACUGACCUCUAGUGUUCCGGUUGUGGCACCAGCCGCAUCGCCGGGUAGCUACGUCGGGAAUGGAUAACCGCUGAAAGCAUCUAAGCGGGAAGCCAACCUCAAGAUUAGGUCUCCCAGGUCGUAAGACCCUAAAGGCCCCUCGUAGACCACGAGGUAAUAGGCUGGGUGUGGAAGCGUAGUAAUACGUGAAGCUGACCAGUACUAAUCGGCCGUGCGGCUUGACCAC